UAUUUAUGAUGCAUUAAAUAGAAGUUCCAGGAUUUGGGGAGUUCUUUUGAUUCUGAGGAAAGGAAACAGUGGCCCAACAGCCAGAGAAGUGACCGUGUCACAGCCCAGAGGAUUCAUCUUUGAAGGGGGAUGGUGGCUGCUCUAGCCUACACCAUAGUGUUUUGGGGUCACGGUUCUCCUCUUGAGGACACAGCAGAGUGGAAAGAGCCCAGGUCUGAGAAGGGGCUAAGACCAGAGGCUAAGAAUCUGUGUAGCCUGGGGAGAGCUGGCUGAAGCCCUCCUGAGCCUUCUGAUUGAGGCACCAUCUAAAAAGCAGGGCUGAGGACUGUGGAGAUCAGGAUACACUGUGGAGCUAAAGGAGUGGGGCUGACCACUCGGGACCCCCAGACGCGCCGCACCCCACUCCCAACCCUGCGCGCCUUCAGGCUGAAGCUGUUCCCUAUGUGCUAACCCCUCAGCUGUGCUUUGCUGCUGCCCAUAUGAUCCCACAAGGCCUCCGGAAUCCGCCACAUUUCCCAAGAGGUCUUCAAAUCCCUGUCCUGGUGCCCCCAGGAGGGGUGCGGCUGCCUCAGAAGCCACCACGGAAUGUGAAACAGACCUGAGCUGGCAGCUGUGGCCUGUUUCAGCCCCAGCAGUGGGCAUGGCUACCAUCUGUAGUGUUUGGGGUGAGAUUUCACUUGAACAAAGGCUUCUGCUGCCAAAAAACAAAAAAGUUGGAAGCCACAGUAUACUGGAGAGAAAAUGGAAUUUGGAGUCAGACCGAGCUCUUUGACUUGCACUGUGUGACCUCAGAUUCCAAGUUCCUGGAUGCCAAGAGACUUGUGUUCCAUUUCUCGAUGUCCCUGCCCCGAGUGCCUCACACAGUGCCACAUUAUCCAGGAGGGGCUGUUGACUGACUGGCACCUUUUUCCUGAAAGGCAGCCUUUGCAACUAUUUUCCAGAACCCAGGGCCUUACUGCAAUCAUCUUAGUUCAUUGUAAGGAAGUUUUCUCUUUGCAUCUGACUAAAUGGCACACUGGAGGACAGAAAAAAAUAAGGGAUUUUUAUACAGCAGAUAAAAAGGAAAAAAGAAAACUUGAUGGAAAGGGUGAGCCUCCAUGCUGACUAGCUCCUUUGGGGCUCAUCGACUUGUUAAUGAAGGACCUGCUAUGCUGUGCUUAGUCGUGUCCGACUCUGCAAUCCCGUGGACUGGAGCACCAGGCUCCUCUGUCCAUGGGGAUUCUCCAGGCGGAUUUUUACCAGCUGAACUCCCAGGGAAGCCGAAGGACCUGCUGUGACUGGAAAAAAAAUUCCUGGUUAUGACUUCCCUGAGGACAUGCAGUCACCAGCAUGGGAAGGACAGGGACCCAGGGACCCCUUUAUCAACUACAGAGUGCGUGCUCAGUUGCUCAGUCAUGUCAGAUUCUUUGCAGCCCCAUGGACUGUCCAUGGGAUUUUCCUGCCAAGAACACUAGAGCAGGUUGCCAUUUCCUCCUCCAGGGGAUCUUCCCGAUCUAGGGAUUGAACCCACACCUCCUGCAUUUCCUGCAUUGGCUGGUGGAUUCUUUUUACCUCUGAGCCACCUAUGAAGUCCCCUAAACAGUCUAUUCAGUAUCAUUGCCUCAGAGAAGCUAGUACCUCAAAGAGGAAAAAAAAAGCAGCGUUGUUUGGAGAAGUGCUGGGGCCAGGAGGGCAUUUCUGUUGACUCUGUGGCGGCUGGUGGGCCGCCACUACCCUGGCUGAAUAAGGGCUGUGCGGUUAGGAAUGAAACAUUUCCUGACAGGAAAAACAAGUCUCUUUGCUCUGGCUCCCAGGGCAGUGCCGUUCAAAGUCUGGCCCCAUAAGCUAUCUUGGUCUACUAUGGGAGACUGAAAUUGCAAGAAACUUUAAAGCUGCAGGUUAAUCUGGGUGAUUGCAUCAGACAUUAAUACUACAACAAAAUGACAAACAGCCUUCUCAAGCUCUUAGACAUUAUUACAGAACUAUCGUCCCUUGGAACUGAAUUCUCAGGAGGGACUGAGUAUCUCACCCACCU